UCUCUCACACUGCUAAUGGUAAUUAAAAAAACAAGCAUUCAUGCUGGCAAUGAGCCUUCCAUUUCUCUCACACUGCUAAUGGUAAUUAAAAAAAAACAAACAUUUGUGCUGGCAAUGAGCCUUUGAUUUAAUUUACACUGCUAAUGGUAAUUAAAAAAACAAGCAUUCAUGCUGGCAAUGAGCCUUUGAUUUAUUAUACACUGCUAAUGGUAAUUAAAAAAACAAGCAUGUGUGCUGGCAAUGAGCCUGUGAUUUAUCAUACACUGCUAAUGGUAAUUAUAAAAAUCCACAGCAUUCGUACUGGCAAUGAGCCUUUGAUUUAUUAUACACUGCUAAUGGUAAUUAAAAAAACAAGCAUGUGUGCUGGCAAUGAGCCUGUGAUUUAUCACACACUGCUAAUGGUAAUUAUAAAAAUCCACAGCAUUCGUACUGGCAAUGAGCCUUUGAUUUAUCUCGCACUGCUAAUGGUAAUUAAAAAACAAGCAUUCGUGCUGGGAAUGAGCCUUUGAUUUAUCUCGCACUGCUAAUGGCCUCCGGGCUCUACUACACUUUAAAAAGAGAUGCCUUCAGGCUCUGGGCUCUCCUCAAGCCUAAAAAAGGUUGCUUUUGGCCUUCGGGUUCUCCUCCACCCUAAAAUGGGUUGCCUCCGGCCUCCGGGCUCUCCUCCACCUUUAAAAGGUUUGCCUCCGGCCUCUGGGCUCUCCUCCACCCUGAAAAGGGUUGCCUCCAGCCUCCGGGCUCUCCUCCACCCUAAAGAAGGGUUGCCUCCGGCCUCUGGGCUUUCCUCCACCCUAAAAAAGGGUUGCCUCCGGGCUCUGGGCUCUCCUCCACCCUUAAAAAGGGUUGCCUCCGGCCUCCGGGCUCUCCUUCACCCUAAAAAAGGGUUGCCUCCGGGCUCUGGGCUCUCCUCCACCCUAAAAUGGGUUGCCUCCGGCCUCCGGGCUCUCCUCCACCUUUAAAAGGGUUGCCUCCGGCCUCUGGGCUCUCCUCCACCCUGAAAAGGGUUGCCUCCAGCCUCUGGGCUCUCCUCCACCCUGAAAAGGGUUGCCUCCAGCCUCCGGGCUCUCCUCCACCCUAAAAAAGGGUUGCCUCCGGGCUCUCCUCCACCCUAAAAAAGGGUUGCCUCCGGCCUCUGGGCUUUCCUCCACCCUAAAAAAGGGUUGCCUCCGGGCUCUGGGCUCUCCUCCACCCUAAAAAAGGGUUGCCUCCGGCCUCCGGGCUCUCCUUCACCCUAAAAAAGGGUUGCCUCCAGGCUCUGGGCUCUCCUCCACCCUAAAAAGGGUUGCCUCCGGGCUCUGGGCUCUCCUCCACCCUAAAAAGGGUUGCCUCCGGCCUCCGGGCUCUCCUCCACACUAAAAAGGGUUGCCUCCGGCCUCUGGGCUCUCCUCCACCCUAAAAAGGGUUGCCUCCGGCCUCUGGGCUCUCCUCCACCCUAUGAAGGGUUUCUUCCAGCCUCCGGGCUCUACUGCGCUCUAAAAAGGGUUGCCUCCGGGCUCUCCUUCACCAUAAAACGGGUUGCCUCUGGCCUGCAAAAAAGAAAGUACCUCAAUAUAAAGUUAAACUGAAUUCAAAUAAAAAACAAAGACUUAAACCUUUCAAGGUUCCAAAAAUGUGUUUAAUAUCAAUGAAAAAAGCUCUUUCCUGUUACCAAAAAAUCAAUACAAAACAUAGAAUAUGUUCAACACAAUCAUAGAAACAAUCAAAGGGAUAGCAAUGUUCUUCCAAGGGAAACCAACAACUGAACAACAAAAUUCAAAGUGCUCCGAUAGCAAUUACGUGGGUAAAAUACUUUUCAGGAAACAAUGAAACAACAGCAAAAAAACACUCUCAAAGAGCUUUCAAGGAAACUUGGACCAACUAUGGAACAACAUCAACAAAAAAACAAUAUUCUCAAAGAGCUUUCAAGGAAACUUGGACCAACUAUGGAACAAUGCUCUCAGGAAAAUGUCACAUCAUUAGCAGGCUUUUCAAGGAAACUAUAGAACAGAAAACAUUCACAAGGUGCUCUGGAAGGAACUACAGCCCAACACUGAGGAAGAAUUGUGACAACCAGCGAGGCAUCAGACCUUGUCCCAGUAGGUCGUCUUGGUCUACAAUAAGACCCAGAAGCCAUGGCGUACACUGAUAACCUGUCUUGUUUGUGUGUGUGCUGUACUGGUUGUGUUUGCAGUCCUUUGUGUAUUUGUAGAUCUCUGCUGGUCUUAAGAAGUUGCCAAAAUGCCCAGUGCUGCAGAAUUGGGCAUUUUGGCAGAAAUUUCAGGGACGCGCUGCUGCUGUUUUACAUCAUGGGGUCUACAAGGAGGCGGUCUUUGGUUCCUCCGUCCAUGUGAGAAGUUGAGCCAGGCAUCCUCGUGCUGGGGACCAUAGCCAAAGUGUUCAUCCUAUAAGAAGACCCCGAUGCCCUCCAUCUCCGAUGGGAUGCUGAACCAGGAUUCAGACUGAGUCGUCAACUAACCACCGGAUACCUGAAGCCAUUGGAGGCCAGAGCUGCUCUAACGUACAUCCAACAGAAACAAGUGUUUGCAGGUCCUGCCAGUAUCAGCCCUGACUCCUGGGGGACUGUGCAAACUGCAAGAGGCUUCUGGUCAUCUUCAACCUGAGCCCGAGUCUGGAGAGGAUCCCAACUUUGUGGAAGACUUCCUGCAUGGUUCCAGUCCUGAAGACGUUGCACCUCAGGGAGCUGAACCACUCAAGACCCAUGCAUGCCUGUGGAGUACAGGCAGAUCAUUUUUGGUAGAGACUGGACAUUAAGAGGGUGAUGUACAAUACCUGGGUGUUGGACUGGUCACACCUGCACCUGCUGAGGGGACAGAGGCCCUUCGGAGCGUGCAGGACUAUUGUUACGGACAUUUUACGAUAGUGUGAUGGCGUCUGCUCUCCUUUAUGCUGUGGUUGGCUGUGGAGGAGGGAGCACAGAAAAAGACUGAACUGGUCAAGAGGGGUAGGUCUGUCUUGGACUGUUCCCUGGACUCUGAGGAGGAUGCUGGCCAAGCUGGCAUCUUCUGCAUAACACUGUUGGGGCCUGAGCAGCCCCUUCAGCCAAAGACUGUUACACCGUCCCUUUAAGGAGUGCAAGAUAAUUCAAGCCAGGGACGGGCAACUUUGGUUACCAAGGGAACCACAUAAAUUCUGUUUUUCCUUCCUGAGGGUAACGUUGUUUUGAAAAGUCAGACAGGACUGUUGUAAUAACUUAUAACCAGGGAUUAUGAGAUUAAUUAUGGUUAAUUUGAUGCAUAAUUAGUGCAUUAUUAUUUUAAUCCAGAGUAAUCUCAUACUCGUCUCUUUCAACACACUUUGGUUCAGCCGCUUCAACGUCUCCCUAGAGCCACAGUUCUGAAAAUCAGUCGAUCACUGAUCCUCAUUUUUUUACUUCCUUUUAAAAACUCAGACAGCUCAGUGGACAAGUCAAAAGUCAUCUGCACCUUACGUUAUCAAAUGUUUACCUUCACCUGGAAUUUAAGUUGUGAUUAAUGUGAUUAAACAUGAUGUGAUCAAUUACAUUUAACUGCAGGGAUUCUAAGAUUAAUCCUGAUUAAAAAUGUUGAUCAUUUGACAGCCCUACUUACAAAUAUAUUUCAUCAAAUUUAAUGAACCAGCGUUUGUUUUGAAAGCUCGAAAGCAAACAGAAAAUCUUAAUGAGUUAACAUGAAAUAAAACAGGAUUUCAGCGUCUUCUUAAAUGGCAUGAUCUGUUUUUUUUUUUUUUGGCCAAAGUUUCUUUGACUUGUCUCUUUUCUCCCAAAUGCAUCUAGUAAUGCUUCUUUGAAGGGUUUUACUGAAACAAAUACAGUCGGUUCCCUUCAUUAAUGUCCUACAAAGAACAAAACAUGCACUAGAAAUCCUUUUUUACAAGAUUCUGUUUAAAUAUUUCUGUUGCAUAUUUUUCUAAACUGUGCAUGCUGUUGUGCAGGUGGAUUUAUUUCUUGGCUGAUGAUCUCAUGUUUACAGUUAGUUGACAGUAGAAAUUUUCUCCAAGUUCUCUUCUAUUUUAACUCAUAUACAGUAGAUGUAAGAGCUUACAUAAAUGUGAUUAUGCUUUUGUCUGUACAAAUAUGUAUGUGAACACAGUCCCACGGAUGUUACAGCCAGCUAUCCAAACGUCUUUGCUCAUCAGCAUCUUCAAUUAUUGAUAAUACUACUACAGUUUGAGAUGUGUAAUGUUACCUGGAUAUUUUUCCCCUCAUUUAAAUCACUACCAUUCACACUGUUUUCUUCAGAUCUGGUCUUGAUCCUUCCACAAGUCAAAGUGUGCAUGUGUACAUUUGUAAAUAAGACUAUUAUAUCACUUUUUGUCAUAUGGUAUUGAAGUAUUGUUGGCACUUUUUCCCCUUACUUUGGGUUUUUUGUAUUAAUGUCUUGAUUAAAGAGUGCAAGAGUUACAAACAAUCCUAGUUUACAUUUUGUUUUUGUUAAAUAUUUGCUGGUUAUGUUUCUCUCUACUUUGAGCUGUUGUCAUAACCAAAUUUACCCCAGUGGAGGCUUA